CAGAACAAUAACUAAAGCAUAGAAGGAAGGCUAAAAUAAGAAUUCAGAAACUAUAAACCGGCUCUCUUCUAGCUUACGACACAAACUAUGAGUGAGAAAAGGACAAAUGAUUCGCUCUUUGCUUCAUUUUUUCCGAGGUUGUCACAACAUGAAAUGUCAUUUGGACCUAUUGGACUCAUUUUAAUUCGGCCAAAUACAUAGUAACAUACAUAAGAAGAUUUUACUUAUAUUUACCGAACUAUUUGACACGGUCGCGUGAACUUUGUUUACGAGUGUCUUGUGUUCAGAUUGUUUUAAGUGAUAAUUUAACAAUAUUUUCCAAAUAAAUGGAAAGAAACUUUUAUUUAUAUCAAAUAAUUGAGUGUCUCGACUCUGUGACAUUAUGUCUUGUGUGGUAUGGGGCUGCAGCUCACAUUCAGGAAGAAAAGAAAAUAGCCAACAACUUCUGUCGUUUCAUCGAUAUUAAAUCCAAAAGUGUCGACUGGAUUUACAUGAAAAGUCAGUUCAAGAAGACGAGAUGAAAAAUUUAAAAGAAAAGCUGAACAAGUCACGCCUCAAGAUCAAACGACUUAAUGAAAAAAAAAAAUCAAUGUGACAGGGUGUCACAAAGACAGUUUCUAAACAAAUUGACACUGUUUAGAAAUUAAUAAAUUUGUAUUUAUUGUAAAUAUAAUGUACAUAAUUAAUAACGUGUAUAAUAAAUA